GAUGAACGCUGGCGGCGUGCCUAAUACAUGCAAGUCGAGCGAACAGAUGAGGAGCUUGCUCCUCUGACGUUAGCGGCGGACGGGUGAGUAACACGUGGAUAACCUCCCUAUAAGACUGGGAUAACUUCGGGAAACCGGCGCUAAUACCGGAUAAUAUCUUGAACCGCAUGGUUCAAUAGUGAAAGACGGUUUUGCUGUCACUUAUAGAUGGAUCCGCGCCGCAUUAGCUGGUUGGUAAGGUAACGGCUUACCAAGGCAACGAUGCGUAGCCGACCUGUGAGGGGGAUCGGCCACACUGGAACUGAGACACGGUCCAGACUCCUACGGGAGGCAGCAGUAGGGAAUCUGCCGCAAUGGGCGAAAGCCUGACGGAGCAACGCCGCGUGAGUGAUGAAGGUCUUCGGAUCGUAAAACUCUGUUAUGAGGGAAGAACAAAUGUGGAAGUAACUAUGCACGUCUUGACGGUACCUAAUCAGAAAGCCACGGCUAACUACGUG
rnacentral:rRNA from 1 species